rnacentral:lncRNA from 1 species
CACGAACUUAACCACUAUGCCACCAGCCAGCCCCAGAGCUCACACUAUUGAUGCUAAAUUUAGUGUAAAGGAAGACAGGAACAUAGCCCUCUGCAGGCCAGCAUUCCUGAUCCCAGUCGCCACCCCUGCCUUGCCUGCCUAUCACCUGGCCCCCGGGUUACCAGACACUGCCCUAUGCUUCUCCCAUUUGUAGGGGGUUCUUUAAGAGCAACCCAGGAACACCUGACCCAACAGAUCUCCUAAUAACAACAACAAUGAUGUUAAUGGUUGAUGCUUAUUGAAUGCUGCUUAUAUGCUGGGAAAUUGUCUUAAUUAUGAGAUGAGGAAAAGGAAUCACAGCAGUUUUAAAGGAAUUUGUCUGAAGUCAUCGCACAACUAAGACAGAGCCAAGAUCCAAGUUCGUCAGUUGACUGCAAAGUCCAUGCUCUACCCUAUCUGUAGCAAAUGAAAAGAAGGAAGUAUUUGAACCAUCUCGGAAAUGCAAGUGCCACCUCAGAAUAAAUGCCAGAGCAUGCUGUCACCUCACUAAGUUAACAGUAUUCAUUUGUAUUCUGAUGCCUAACAGUUAAGGACUCAGACCGUGACUUUUUCUUGAACUUGUUUUAUUUAAGUAGAGAAAGAUGAAAUGAUCUAUUCAUCUGUUUUAAAUUUAGACUUGAGAGCUUAGAACUGUUCAGUAAGUACAAUACAUAAUAGAAAAAUAUGCAGUUCAAAAUGAUUAGCUAUAAAAGUAGAGAAGUAAGAGAUUAGGAGGGAACAGAGAGGGAAAGAAAAUGACAUAGACAAAGGAAGAUGGAGAGACAGCAUCCCAGAUUUGCUAAUAUCAAGAAAGGUGAAGAUUAAACACAGGAAGAGAAUACGGAGACAGAUGAGAAACACGUGAAAACGCAUGCAGAAAAUCAGAGGUGGACACAGAGAGUCUUUGAUGGAAAAACACCUCAUCUUAUGACCUUUAGAAUAUUAAUGUUAAAAAUUUUAACUUCUAUUGGAACUUUUACAACUCUGGAAUAAUUAAUGAUGUG